GAUGAAGAACGUAGCGAAAUGCGAUAAGUAAUGUGAAUUGCAGAAUUCAGUGAAUCAUCGAAUCUUUGAACGCACAUUGCGCCCCCUGGUAUUCCGGGGGGCAUGCCUGUCCGAGCGUCAUUACAACCCUCAAGCUCAGCUUGGUAUUGGGCCCCGCCGACCCGGCGGGCCCUAAAGUCAGUGGCGGUGCCGUCCGGCUCCGAGCGUAGUAAUUCUUCUCGUUCUGGAGGUCCGGUCGUGUGCUCGCCAGCAACCCCCAAUUUUUUUCAGGUUGACCUCGGAUCAGGUAGGGAUACCCGCUGAACUUAAGCAUAUCAAUAAGCGGAGGA
rnacentral:misc_RNA from 1 species